CCAGACGGAAGCUGGUGGGCAUGUGACACCCGGGCACUGACGAGGGCGGGGAGUGAUCGCCGGUGCAAGAAGCAUGGUGCAGGGGGCACGGACAAGGAGCGGCUCCUGGCAGGCUUCGAGUGGAAGGGGCACAUGGACGAAUCGAACAUACACCGAGAACUCCAUGGUUAAGCGUGCUUAGCCUGGAGAAAUUCUGGGAUGGGUGACCUUCCGGGAAGUUUUCCCGGAAAGUGUGCGAGUGAGGACAAAGCACCCUGGAAAGUCUCGUGGUGAUGUGUGGGGGCAGUCAACAGUCCCUGUAAGUUGCCGGGGCGUUACAA
rnacentral:lncRNA from 1 species